CCUACGGCGGCCGCCGUGAGGAAUUUUGCGCAAUGGGAGCAAUCCUGACGCCGCAACGCCGCGUGGGUGAUGAAGGCCUUCGGGUCGUAAAGCCCUGUCAGGUGGGAAGAAUGUCCCGGGACUGAACAGGUUUCGGGAGUGACGGUACCACCAGAGGAAGCACCGGCUAACUCCGUGCCAGCAGCCGCGGUAAUACGGAGGGUGCCAGCGUUAUUCGGAAUUACUGGGCGUAAAGCGCGGGUAGGCGGUCCUGCAAGGCUGAUGGGAAAGCCCCGGGCUUAACCCGGGAAGUGCAUUGGAAACUGUGGGACUUGAGUACUGGAGAGGAUGGGGGAAUUCCCGGUGUAGAGGUGAAAUUCGUAGAGAUCGGGAGGAAUAUCAGUGGCGAAGGCGCCCAUCUGGACGGUAACUGACGCUGAGACACGAAAGCGUGGGGAGCAAACA
rnacentral:rRNA from 1 species